rnacentral:lncRNA from 1 species
AUUCCUAAAUUCUGUGAAGGAGGCACUGGCAGCUUAGUAUUGCGGGCGGGGGGGGGGGAGAAAGGGAGGAAGUUUCUUCCAGUUGUGAUUAUGCGCAGAGUUUCCUUGUACUGAGCUUAGUUUUCUCCACCCACUACUUAGUGAGAACUCUUUAACUAGAAGACUAACAACUUAAAGCUUUAUCCCUGUGAGUACCAGAAAAGUGAUCUGAGUAUUUAUUAAACAGAGAGAACAAACUGCCUACUUCAGGCAGGGAGGAAGCGUAUGGAAAUUAUAUUAGAACUUCAGCAAAGUGCAGAGCUGCAUAAUACAGAAGCUGGGACUCAAAUUGACAGGCUAAUAAGCCAGCUCACUGAAGGGGGCUCUGUGUGGCAGCUCUGAGUUACUAAGUGUUGGACAACUAUAGGCAAAAUGUGAAAUGGAACAGGGCAGAAAAUAACACACUAACUUCAGGCAACUGUUGCUUUCUCCUGACUGUGAAGUACUUGUUCCUUGGAACUGCACCUGUUCAGCAUGACACCUUGCUUUGCUGGUGAUGUCACAUGCAGCACUGACUAUAAUUGGAGAAUGGAACCUCUUUGUGGGUGCAAGUCUGCAGUCGCACGGCUGGUGGUGUGGCACAGACAGAGCAAGGGUUACAUCAAGGCUGUUCUCUGGACCGUGCAAACAGUCUAGACCAAUGACCUGCAGCAUCAUGCCCUUUGAAGAAGAGGCAAGUUCGGUCACGAUGAAGAAAAAUCAAGGCGUACCCCUUUUAACAAUAGGGAGCAGCUCGUGGCUGCAAAGAGGUAAGCAGGGGUAAGCGAAAAAGGCAUCUGCUUCCAUGGUUACAGGCCAACUAUGAGAACCUUGCUUUUCAAGAGAGACUGUUCUCAUGCUCCCUCACAGGCUAUGUCAUGCAUUAUAAGUAAAGGAGGGUUGAGCUGAAAUCCACAUAGUUAUUUCAGAGUAAAAUGAUACGCGAGCACAUGGCUGUUA